UACAGAGGGUGCGAGCGUUUAAUCGGAAUUACUGGGCGUAAAGCGUGCGUAGACGGUUAUUUAAGUCGGGUGUGAAAGCCCCGGGCUCAACCUGGGAAUUGCAUUCGAGACUGAAUAGCUAGGGUACGGUAGAGGGAAGCGGAAUUUCCGGUGUAGCGGUGAAAUGCGUAGAUAUCGGAAGGAACAUCAGUGGCGAAAGCGGCUUCCUGGACCAGUACCGACGUCAGGCACGAAAGCGUGGGGAGCAAACAGGA
rnacentral:rRNA from 1 species